UUAUCGAAGUCCGAUUUGUUUCUAUUUGACGUCCGAGUGUAGCCAAGAGUGGUCCUGGGUGAGUUUCAGCCGCGUCCAUGGGGAAUGAAAUCCCUGGAACUGGGGGCGUUUGCCUAUCCCCCGGGAAAGCAAAGCGCACCGAAAUGCACAGGGUGCUGGUGCCGGAAGAAAAGAAUGAUUGAUGGGAAACGGACACCGGGCUAUAGACGCUCGUCCCUUUGCUCUGGAUACUGACAUCUCAGUGUGCCUGAGCGUCCUUUGUGAGUUGUGAACAUUGAGGAUCACUCAGGGUUAUCGGAUGUACAACGGGAGAGCCAUCGCUUGGCCCAAUUAUUAUCUGCAACUGGACAUCUUUUACAAAAACCAAACCAGACCUGAAUCUGAGAGCUAUGUUCUAGGACAAAGAAAAAGCUGCACGUUGUUAACACCUAACACACAAGUAUGUUAGGCUGCCACCAAAGUUCUCGAUAUACCUGAACACACACCACAUCUCACCCCUCCACGCUUGGUUUUGGAAUCUGCUUUGAGGUCCCAUCCUCUUUU